rnacentral:rRNA from 1 species
GACGAACGCUGGCGGCGUGCCUAAUACAUGCAAGUAGAACGCUGAAGGAGGAGCUUGUUUCUCUGGAUGAGUUGCGAACGGGUGAGUAACGCGUAGGUAACCUGCCUGGUAGCGGGGGAUAACUAUUGGAAACGAUAGCUAAUACCGCAUAAUAGCAGUUGUUGCAUGACAACUGUUUGAAAGGUGCAAUUGCACCACUACCAGAUGGACCUGCGUUGUAUUAGCUAGUUGGUGGGGUAACGGCUCACCAAGGCGACGAUACAUAGCCGACCUGAGAGGGUGAUCGGCCACACUGGGACUGAGACACGGCCCAGACUCCUACGGGAGGCAGCAGUAGGGAAUCUUCGGCAAUGGACGGAAGUCUGACCGAGCAACGCCGCGUGAGUGAAGAAGGUUUUCGGAUCGUAAAGCUCUGUUGUAAGAGAAGAACGAGUGUGAGAGUGGAAAGUUCACACUGUGACGGUAUCUUACCAGAAAGGGACGGCUAACUACGUG